rnacentral:lncRNA from 11 species
GGCCAUGCAGACUAGAAAUCUAGAAACUCGUUUUUGUCCAAAAUGUCUCAAGGAAGUGGUACCUCAAUCCCAAAAAGAUUAAUGAUUCCCAACCUGUGGAUGCUCAAAGUUGUUGGACUACCAUUCCUAGAAUACCUCACCACUGGCCAUGUAAGGCUUCUGGGCAUGCAAUCCUGUAACAUUU